rnacentral:rRNA from 1 species
CGUGAGAUGUUGGGUUAAGUCCCGCAACGAGCGCAACCCCUAUCCUUUGUUGCCAGCACGUAAUGGUGGGAACUCAAAGGAGACUGCCGCGGACAACGCGGAGGAAGGCGGGGAUGACGUCAAGUCAUCAUGCCCCUUAUGUCCUGGGCUACACACGUACUACAAUGGGAUGGACAGAGAGCAGCGAAGCCGCGAGGCCAAGCGAACCCCAUAAACCAUCUCCCAGUUCGGAUUCGCAGGCUGCAACCCGCCUGCAUGAAGUCGGAGCUCGCUAGUAAUC